rnacentral:rRNA from 1 species
GACGAACGCUGGCGGCGUGCCUAAUACAUGCAAGUCGAACGAGAGCGACCGGUGCUUGCACUGGUCAAUCUAGUGGCGAACGGGUGAGUAACACGUGGGUAACCUGCCCAUCAGAGGGGGAUAACAUCCGGAAACGGAUGCUAAAACCGCAUAGGUCUUCGAGCCGCAUGGCUUGAAGAGGAAAAGAGGCGCAAGCUUCUGCUGAUGGAUGGACCCGCGGUGCAUUAGCUAGUUGGUGAGGUAACGGCUCACCAAGGCCGUGAUGCAUAGCCGACCUGAGAGGGUGAUCGGCCACAUUGGGACUGAGACACGGCCCAAACUCCUACGGGAGGCAGCAGUAGGGAAUCUUCCGCAAUGGACGCAAGUCUGACGGAGCAACGCCGCGUGAGUGAAGAAGGUUUUCGGAUCGUAAAAACUCUGUUGUUAGAGAAAGAAACAAAGUGCUAG